GUGUGUGAGAGAGAGAGAGAGAGAGCAUGAUCGAGUGCAUGCGGACGCGUGAGGCAGGAGGAAGGAUGGCUGCUCAUGUGUGAGCUGCAUACAGCUGUGUUUACCCAGAAACGCACGCCGCUCUGCGUCGCCAGCAUGCCUGCGGAGGUGAACGAGAAGCCGGAUCUGGAGGAACCUUCAGCUCAAGACACCAAAGAGCAGACGGAUGAGACGGCAGGAACCCCAUCCUCAGACGCGUCCAACCCCGCAAGCUCAAAUCACACAGAGACACACACUGAGAGUUCAGGCUUUGGGACGGAGAAAUCGUCCAGUCCUGACAGCGAAUCCAACAGCAGCUCCAAUGAACAAGUCGUGCCCAACCUCCUGAAGGUGAAUAUUGCAGAUCACACGCUUUCUUUAUAUCAUCAUCUUAAAA
rnacentral:lncRNA from 1 species